AAGACCAAAGGAAGGCCUGUCAUGGGAUUUGAAUUUGACCAUCUUGUGUGUUUAUGGAGAAGACCAAAAGCUGCAAAGGCAAACACUUCCAAUGCUGAAGACCAAAAACGCAAAGAAAAUCAGUCACAGCAAGCCGGUCAAACCAGUCCUGAUGAAUGAGGAAUGAACAUGGCCUUCUUGUGCACAAACAGAAAAGACAGAGAGUUGAAAAGUUGCACAUUUCCAUUGCUCCUAGAAUGAGCAAAUCAGCUGUGCAUCAUCUCUGGGAUUUGGG